ACAUGCAAGUCGAACGAAGGCUCCAGCUUGCUGGAUGUCCUUAGUGGCGAACGGGUGAGUAACGCGUGGGAACCUACCUUGGAGCGGGGAAUAACUAUUGGAAACGAUGGCUAAUACCGCAUACGCCCUCAGGGGGGAAAAGGCUUCGGGCCACUCCAAGACGGUCCCGCGUCUGAUUAGCUUGUUGGUAAGGUAACGGCUUACCAAGGCGACGAUCAGUAGCUGGUCUGAGAGGAUGAUCAGCCACACUGGGACUGAGGCACGGCCCAGACUCC
rnacentral:rRNA from 1 species